GGGUCAUUAGCUCAAUCGGCAGAGCAGGGGACUCUUAAUCCCAAGGUUGCGGGUUCGAUUCCCGUGUGACCCACCA
rnacentral:tRNA from 1 species